UAAUUUCAAGUUAUCAAGAGUGUGUUUGUACAGGGAGUGGGUUGGGCAUCUGAGUUGUCUACUGGUGAGGUCUGGGUUUAGUGCAAUGAUGGAUCUCAGAUGGUCAUUCAAUAUUCUGUAACUAGUAUCAAAUACACAGAUAGUACAGGAGCCAUAACAAGAUAUACCCACACCGACAGAUUGCCAGAACCAAUCAAGGACAAGCUGUCACGCCUCCCAGUCUUAAUAGAAAAUCUAGCAGCUUCACCCAAAAUAUCAUAGAGUACCUAAGAUGUUGAUUGUAAAUAAGACUGUAAAAUACUUAUUACUUCUUCAGUUACAUAGUAGAUGUCACUUAGGUUUUCUCUGUGUAAGACAAAUAACUUUCUUACUUAGCAAUCACUAGGUUUUUACAUUAACAAGAGUUGUGAGAGGACUGGGGAUGAGUAGGGUAAGAUUUACUAGAAUAAAUUCAAAUAAGAGAACACUAGGUUUACUAAUUAGUAAAAACAAUAGAAAGAACUUUUUGGAAGUAAGGUCACAAAAUGACAGUUUUUGAAAUACAGUAGCUAAAAUUGAAUUUGUAGAAGCAACAAAUCAAGAAGAGUUAUGAACUUUUACAAGUUUCGUUCUUAAACUCCCAAAGGUUUUGGUCCUCCUUAUCACUGUGUAAAAUUUCAUUUGAAUGGUUGUCUAUACACAGCUGUUUAUACACACCAGGGCCGGGUUGUUUGAAAGCCUGUUAACACUAACCCAGGAUUAAACGUCAACCGAAGAACUAAUUUUUCUCACAUGAAAAUGUUUUUCACUGCUUAUGUUUUCUGUGGUUUGAGAUUAUUCAAAUUCAAAACUGAAGGACAGACAAUA